CUCGUGGAUGCCUAUCAUAUGGCAGAUAACAGUUUCAGGCUCUCAGAAUGCAACAGCGAAGGGAAUAUAAGAAAAACAGGAAAAAAAACCUCUCAUAUCUUGAACUUUGUAGUCUCACGACAGGAGAUAAAUUAUGAACUAAAUAUACAGUAAGCGCUACAGUGGGAAAUACAGCAAGGUUCAGGGGAUACAGAACAGUGGGAGAUGGGCUUUUCUGGUGAUGUGGCAUUUGACCAAGUGAUCAGCGAUGUAGGAUAUGGCGGAAGAAGAAUUUCCGGCUGAGCGUUACAACUGCAAAGAACCCAAAAUGGAAGCACAUUGAGUCGAAGGAAAAUGACAUUCUUGAUGUCUGUAGAAUCAUCUUAAAAUUAAUGAGGAGGCUGAGCCAGGAUGAUCACUUGAGCCCACGAAGUCAAGGCUACCCUGAGCCAUGUUCAUGCCACUGCACUCUAGCCUGAGUGACAGAGCAAGACCCCGUCUCCAAAAAGAAAGAAGAAAGAGAAAGAAAGAAGAAAAAGAGAGAAAGAAGGAAAGAAACAUAGAUAGACUAAUGCAGCUUCUCAGUUAUUUUGGUAUCAUGAACAGAGUAUUCUGAAAGGAGAAUAAAAUAAUUCUGGACCCACUUAAAUGUAUUUUUCAUAAGCUAAUAAAUCAGCAUAUGCCUGUUGAGAAUGUUAAUAAAACUAAGAAUGACAACUAACAUUUGUUAAGUACUUUGUGUCAAGCAGUGUUCUAACACCUUUAUCCUCAAAACAGUGCUAAGUACAUUUAUUUUUGUCCACAACAACCAACAAGGAAACUGAGGCAGGGUAUUCUA
rnacentral:lncRNA from 1 species